AAAGUCGUAACAAGGUCUCCGUAGGUGAACCUGCGGAGGGAUCAUUACAAGUGACCCCGGUUUACCACCGGGAUGUUCAUAACCCUUUGUUGUCCGACUCUGUUGCCUCCGGGGCGACCCUGCCUUCGGGCGGGGGCUCCGGGUGGACACUUCAAACUCUUGCGUAACUUUGCAGUCUGAGUAAAUUUAAUUAAUAAAUUAAAACUUUCAACAACGGAUCUCUUGGUUCUG
rnacentral:misc_RNA from 1 species